rnacentral:ncRNA from 1 species
GAUCCGCAGCCGGACGGAUCACUUGACACAGGCAAACCGUGACGCUCUGUCACGGCUUGCAGCCGAGUUCAGCGGUUGUGUCAGCAGUCGCUCUUUGGAGCAGAGGACUUUACCUCCGUACUGCAUUCGUACUGACC